CACGGAGUUAGCCGGAGCUUAUUCUCCAGGUACUGUCAUUAUCAUCCCUGGUAAAAGGGCUUUACAACCCUAAGGCCUUCAUCACUCACGCGGCAUUGCUGGAUCAGGCUUUCGCCCAUUGUCCAAUAUUCCCCACUGCUGCCUCCCGUAGGAGUCUGGGCCGUGUCUCAGUCCCAGUGCGGCUGAUCAUCCUCUCAGACCAGCUAUAGAUCGUCGACUUGGUAGGCCAUUACCCCACCAACUAUCUAAUCUAACGCGGGCCCAUCUAAAGGCGAUAAAUCUUUGGUCCGAAGACAUCAUCCGGUAUUAGCUCAAAUUUCUCUGGGUUAUUCCGAACCUAAAGGCAGGUUCCCACGCGUUACGCACCCGUGCGCCACUCACCCCGAAGGGUUCGUUCGACUUGCAUGUGUUAGGCAUGCCGCAGCGUUCGUCUGAGCCAGGCAACUC
rnacentral:rRNA from 1 species